ensembl:lncRNA
AUGCUGCCUCACAGCUUUCAAAACCAUCAUUUUCUUGGGAAAUGCUAAAAAGCUUUCCCCUACCAUACAUACUAGAUUCAGACACACUGCCAUCUACUGACCCACCAAAGGAUGUGCCAGCAUAAGACAUCCUGACCUUCAAGGGAGGGAGGAACACCUUGAGAGGAGUUGAGAUCCUGCUUUCUCUUCAGAAUGCCAUCUCCAGGAUGCCAAUGGGUUGUGUCUACAGUACUAUGUAGGAAAGUGCUGCAAGAGGUCAUGAGACCUUCAUGUGAGAGCUGCUCUCCCUGUACCUUGAGGAAAGAAACCUCUUUCUCUCUGAAGAUGAACAGUCACAGAGAAGAAAGGAAAACAAUUCUCAGAGAACUCAUCUAGAAUAACAUCCCUGUACUUUCUUAUGAGAAAGAGAAAGUUGCUUGUUGAAGCCUUUGGAGACAGAAGUUUUAAGGUGCUAAGAAAGAAAAGUAAAUACCAAGGAACACAAGUGCUGGUUCACAUGGUAACAAUAUGUUUAGAUUUGUAAGAGACUGUCAAACUGUCUCCCAAAGAGGCAGUACCAUUUUGCAUUCCCACCAGCAAUGAAUGAAGAGUUCCUGUUUCUCUGAUCCGUGGGGAUGCUCCUUGACUUACGAUAGGGCUAUGUCUGGACAAACCUAUGGGUCUCACCCGGUCACCCAGGCUGGAGUGCACUGGUAACUCACUGCAGCCUCUAACUCCUGGUUUCAAGUCAUCCUCCUACCUCAACCUUUCAAGCAGCUGGAACUACAAGCACAUGCCACUUGAUGUCUGGCUUAUCUAUUUAUUUAUUGGUAGAGACAGGGUCUUGCUUUGUUGCCCAGUCUAGUCUUGAACUCCUGGCCUUCAGUAGUCCACCCACCCCCGCUUCCCAAAAUGCUGUGAUUAUAGGUAUAAGCCACAUGCCAGGACUCCUGGAGUAUCUUUUCAUGUGCUUAUUUGCCAUUUGUGUAUCUUCUUUGGUGAAGUAUCUGUUAAUAUCGUUUUUAAGAGUUAUUUGUAUAUUUUGGAUUAAAAUCUUAUCAGAUAUGUCUUUUGCAACUAUUCUGCCCCAGUCUUGUCUUUUUAUUCUCUUAACGGUGUCUUUCACAGACCAGAAAAUUUUAGUUAUAAUAAAGUUCAGCUUAUUAAUACCUUCUUUCAAUUAUCAUGGCUUUGGUGUUAUAUCUAAAGAAAUUAUAGCCAAACCCAAGGUAAUCUAGAUUUUCUUUCUGUUAUCUUCUAGUGGUUUUAUAGCUUUAUGUUUUACCUUUAGGUUUGUGUCCAUUUUCAGUUAGUUUUUGUGAAGAGUGUGAGGUCUAUGUCCAGAUUCAUUUUUUGCAUGUGAAUGUCCAGUUGUUCCAGUGCCACUUGUUGAAAAGACUAUGUUUUCUCCUUUGUAUUGACUUUGCUCUUUUGUCAAAGAUCAGUUGACUAUACUUAUGUGGGUCUAUUUAUGGGUUCUCUGUUGUAUUCCAUUUAUCUAUUUGUCUAUCCCUUCAUCAGUACCACACAGUCUUGAUUAAUAUAGCUUUAUAGUAAGCCCUGAAGUUGGGUAGUAUCAGUCCUCCAACUUUGUUCUUCUUCAAUAUUGUGCUGGCUAUUGUGAGUCUUUUGCUUUAUACAAAUUUUAGAAUAAGUUUGUUGAUAUCAACAGAAUAACUAUCUAAGAUUUUAAUUGGGAGUGCAUUCAAUCAAUAAAUCAAAUUGAGAACUGA